CUCAGACAACUAUCAUGUAAAGAAUCAGACUGAGUUAGUCUACGGUGAGCAGAACGUACAGAAUGAGAACGCUGAUCAAAUAGAACAUAAAGUCCAUCUACCUCUGGAAUUUUCAGGUUGUAUAGGGGCAGACCCUGUGUUGGUCACCUGGUCCUUAGUGUUGCCUGAGACUGGCAGUGAAGACGGCUCAACUUGAGGGCCCAAUAUUAGCUGAGCACACUGCUCCCCAGCAUGAAGACUACCUAUCCUAGCCUUCCCUGAAGCUUCAUGUGACCUUGUGACUAACUUCAAACCAAAGGCAUAAAAUAGAACUGGUUUUCUAUAGAGAAGACAAGGCAGCCAUCAGCAAAACAAGACUCACAUCUCCCUGCCUCAGUAACCACAGUGGAAGGCAUAUACCAGCCCAAAGGUACGUUGCCCGGGAAGCUGGGGAAGAAAACUGACCACAAGUCAUCAUCAGGGUCAAGCUGAAGGUUGGCAAUAACAGUAAAGAUCCAGUACUGACAAAAGAAAGGAAGCACUGCAGCGUUUGGUUUGGAAAAUGGUGCACGUGUGCGUGCCUGCGAGCUCAUGUGUGUGCAAGUUCCAUUCUUGGGUUGCACUGAAGAGUUGGGUCAGAACCUUAGCAUGACUUUAGAACAUGGGCAUCAACAGUGAAUGACUGUAAUAACAACCCACUUCAGUGGUGUGGAUGUUAGCCAGUAGACCUACACCUGUGACUUUGAGCCAAGACUUGAGGUGAAUCCUAGGUCUGGACUUGUCAGGAGGCCUAGCUAGGCCUUCAGCAGAUAGAGUCUUACUGCAGAAUGAUAUCACACUAACAAUGAGACUUACUGGAAAAACAAA